rnacentral:rRNA from 1 species
GUGGGGAAUAUUGGACAAUGGGCGAAAGCCUGAUCCAGCCAUGCCGCGUGUGUGAAGAAGGUCUUCGGAUUGUAAAGCACUUUAAGUUGGGAGGAAGGGCAGUAAGUUAAUACCUUGCUGUUUUGACGUUACCGACAGAAUAAGCACCGGCUAACUUCGUGCCAGUAGCCGCGGUAAUACGAAGGGUGCAAGCGUUAAUCGGAAUUACUGGGCGUAAAGCGCGCGUAGGUGGUUUUGUAAGUUGGAGGUGAAAUCCCCGGGCUCAACCUGGGAACUGCCUCCAAAACUGCAUGACUAGAGUACGGUAGAGGGUAGUGGAAUUUCCUGUGUAGCGGUGAAAUGCGUAGAUAUAGGAAGGAACACCAGUGGCGAAGGCGACUACCUGGACUGAUACUGACACUGAGGUGCGAAAGCGUGGGGAGCAAACAGGAUUAGAUACCCGUGUAGUCC